UCAAACCACUGGUUCUCUUACAAUCACCAAAGUUAAGCAACAUCGAGCCUAGCCAGUACCUAGAUGGGUGACCAUUUAGGAAGACCAGGUGCUGUAAG
rnacentral:rRNA from 1 species